rnacentral:rRNA from 1 species
UACGGAGGGUGCAAGCGUUAUCCGGAUUCACUGGGUUUAAAGGGAGCGCAGGCGGACAUGUAAGUCAGUGGUGAAAUCCCCGAGCUUAACUUGGGAACUGCCAUUGAUACUAUCAGUCUUGAAUACCGUGGAGGUCAGCGGAAUAUGUCAUGUAGCGGUGAAAUGCUUAGAUAUGACAUAGAACACCAAUUGCGAAGGCAGCUGGCUACACGGAUAUUGACACUGAGGCACGAAAGCGUGGGGAUCAAACAGG